AGAGUUUGAUCCUGGCUCAGGAUGAACGCUGGCGGCGUGCCUAAUACAUGCAAGUCGAGCGAGAAAUUCUUUAAUGAAUCUUCGGAGGAAUUAGAGAAUGGACAGCGGCGGACGGGUGAGUAACGCGUAGGCAACCUGCCUCACACAGAGGGAUAGCCAUUGGAAACGAUGAAUAAUACCUCAUGAAACCGGAACAACACAUGUUGAUCCGGUCAAAGAUUUAUCGGUGUGAGAUGGGCCUGCGUCUGAUUAACUAGUUGGUGAGGUAGCGGCUCACCAAGGUGACGAUCAGUAGCCGACCUGAGAGGGUGAUCGGCCACAUUGGAACUGAGACACGGUCCAAACUUCUACGGAAGGCAGCAGUAGGGAAUCUUGCACAAUGGGCGAAAGCCUGAUGCAGCAACGCCGCGUGAAGGAUGAAGGCCUUCGGGUUGUAAACUUCUGUUCCCGGGGACGAAGAAAGUGACGGUACCCGGGCAGCAAGCCCCGGCUAACUACGUGCCAGCAGCCGCGGUAAUACGUAGGGGGCAAGCGUUAUCCGGGAUUAUUGGGCGUAAAGAGUGCGUAGGUGGUUAUGUAAGCGUGAGGUUUAAGGCAGUGGCUUAACCACUGUUCGCCUUGCGAACUGCAUAACUUGAGUGCAGGAGGAGAAAGCGGAAUUCCUAGUGUAGCGGUGAAAUGCGUAGAUAUUAGGAGGAACACCAGCGGCGAAGGCGGCUUUCUGGACUGCAACUGACACUGAGGCACGAAAGCGUGGGGAGCAAACAGGAUUAGAUACCCUGGUAGUCCACGCCGUAAACGAUGAGCACUAGUUGUUGGGUCCGAACGGAUUCAGUGACGCAGUUAACGCAAUAAGUGCUCCGCCUGGGGAGUACGCUCGCAAGAGUAAAACUCAAAGGAAUUGACGGGGACCCGCACAAGCAGCGGAGCAUGUGGUUUAAUUCGAAGCAACGCGAAAAACCUUACCAGGACUUGACAUCCUGCUGACAGGCCCUUAACCGGGCCCUUCUUCGGACAGCAGAGACAGGUGGUGCAUGAUUGUCGUCAGCUCGUGUCGUGAGAUGUUGGGUUAAGUCCCGCAACGAGCGCAACCCUUGUUGUCAGUUACUAACAUUAAGUUGAGGACUCUGGCGAGACUGCCGAGGUUAACUCGGAGGAAGGUGGGGAUGACGUCAAAUCAUCAUGCCCCUUAUGUUCUGGGCUACACACGUGCUACAAUGGCCGGUACAGAGAGACGCAAAACCGCGAGGCGGAGCAAAUCACUAAAACCGGUCCCAGUUCGGACUGCAGGCUGAAACCCGCCUGCACGAAGUUGGAGUUGCUAGUAAUCGCAGAUCAGAAUGCUGCGGUGAAUGCGUUCCCGGGUCUUGUACACACCGCCCGUCACACCAUGGAAGUUGGGGGUGCCCAAAGUUGGCUGAUAAAUAAGUUACCUAAGGCAAAACCAAUGACUGGGGUGAAGUCGUAACAAGGUAGCCGUUCGAGAACGAGCGGCUGGAUCACCUCCUU
rnacentral:rRNA from 1 species